rnacentral:rRNA from 1 species
AGUGAACGCUGGCGGUAGGCCUAACACAUGCAAGUCGAACGGCAGCACAGUAAGAGCUUGCUCUUACGGGUGGCGAGUGGCGGACGGGUGAGGAAUACAUCGGAAUCUACUUUUUCGUGGGGGAUAACGUAGGGAAACUUACGCUAAUACCGCAUACGACCUACGGGUGAAAGCAGGGGAUCUUCGGACCUUGCGCGAUUGAAUGAGCCGAUGUCGGAUUAGCUAGUUGGCGGGGUAAAGGCCCACCAAGGCGACGAUCCGUAGCUGGUCUGAGAGGAUGAAGCGCCCAACCGGGAACGGAGACACGGCCCAGACCCCUAGGGGGGGCAGCAGGGGGGAAUUUUGGAAAAGGGGCGAAAGCCUGACCCAGCCAUCCCGCGUGGGGGAAGAAGGCCUUGGGGUGUUAAAGCCCUUUUUUUGGGAAAAAAAAGCAGCAGGUUAAAACCCCGCUGUUCUGACGGUACCCAAAAAAUAAGCACCGGCUAACUUCGU